rnacentral:rRNA from 1 species
AGUAACACGUGAGCAACCUGCCCCGAAGACUGGGAUAACAGCGGGAAACCGCUGCUAAUACUGGAUGCCCCCACCGGGCCGCAUGACCUGGUGAGGAAAUGGAUUCCGCUUCGGGAGGGACUCGCGGCCUAUCAGCUUGUUGGUGGGGUAACGGCCUACCAAGGCAACGACGGGUAGCUGGUCUGAGAGGACGAUCAGCCACACUGGGACUGAGACACGGCCCAG